rnacentral:lncRNA from 1 species
GUCCUGGGGUGGGGAUGCCAAUUGCAUGAGGAAACCUAGGGACACAGGGGCAGAUGUGACACUUGACAGUCUUGGGCAGAGGAAGCAACCUCUCUGGGUGACACUAGAAAGAGCAGAGCUCUGGAGGUUGCACCCCAUUUCAGCCCCACUCCCCACAUCCUUCCUGCCCAUCCAACAAUAA